UACGGAGGAUGCGAGCGUUAUCCGGAUUUAUUGGGUUUAAAGGGUGCGCAGGCGGAAGAUCAAGUCAGCGGUAAAAUUGAGAGGCUCAACCUCUUCGAGCCGUUGAAACUGGUUUUCUUGAGUGAGCGAGAAGUAUGCGGAAUGCGUGGUGUAGCGGUGAAAUGCAUAGAUAUCACACAGAACACCGAUUGCGAAGGCAUCUCACGAAUCCGCUAUUGACGCUGAUGCACGAAAGCGUGGGUAUCAAACAGG
rnacentral:rRNA from 1 species